rnacentral:rRNA from 1 species
AACGCGAAGAACCUUACCAAAUCUUGACAUCCCGAUGACAGGCUGUGUAAUGCAGCUUCUCUUCGGAGCAUCGGUGACAGGUGGUGCAUGGUUGUCGUCAGCUCGUGUCGUGAGAUGUUGGGUUAAGUCCCGCAACGAGCGCAACCCUUGUCUUUAGUAGCCAGCAUUUAGGAUGGGCACUCUAGAGAGACUGCCAGGGAUAACCUGGAGGAAGGUGGGGAUGACGUCAAAUCAUCAUGCCCCUUAUGAUUUGGGCUACACACGUGCUACAAUGGCGUAAACAAAGAGAAGCAAAGGAGUGAUCCGGAGCAAAUCUCAAAAAUAACGUCUCAGUUCGGAUUGUAGUCUGCAACUCGACUUCAUGAAGCUAGAAUCGCUAGUAAUCCUGAAUCAGAAUGUCAGGGUGAAUACGUUCCCGGGUCUUGUACACACGC